rnacentral:rRNA from 1 species
UCUAGAGCUAAUACAUGCGCCCAAACCCGACUCCGUGGAAGGGUUGUGUUUAUUAGUUACAGAACCAACCCAGGCUCCGCCUGGUUUUUUGGUGAUUCAUAAUAACCGAACGAAUCGCAUGGCAUCAGCCGGCGAUGAAUCAUUCAAGUUUCUGACCUAUCAGCUUCCGACGGUAGGGUAUUGGCCUACCGUGGCAAUGACGGGUAAUUCCAGCUCCAAUAGCGUAUAUUUAAGUUGUUGCGGUUAAAAAGCUCGUAGUUGGACUUCUGCCGAGGACGACCGGUCCGCCCUCUGGGUGAGUAUCUGGCUCGGCCUGGGCAUCUUCUUGGAGAACGUAUCUGCACUUGACUGUGUGGUGCGGUAUCCAAGACUUUUACUUUGAGGAAAUUAGAGUGUUUCAAGCAGGCACACGCCUUGAAUACAUUAGCAUGGAAUAAUAAGAUAGGACCUUGGUUCUAUUUUGUUGGUUUCUAGA